rnacentral:rRNA from 1 species
GUGGGGAAUAUUGGACAAUGGGGGCAACCCUGAUCCAGCCAUGCCGCGUGUGUGAAGAAGGCCUUCGGGUUGUAAAGCACUUUCAGUAGUGAGAAAGGCUAGCCGGUAAAUAACCGGCUGGAUUGAUGUUAGCUACAGAAGCAGCACCGGCUAACUCCGUGCCAGCAGCCGCGGUAAUACGGAGGGUGCAAGCGUUAAUCGGAAUUACUGGGCGUAAAGCGCGCGUAGGCGGUUUGUUAAGUCGGAUGUGAAAGCCCCGGGCUCAACCUGGGAACUGCUUUCGAUACUGAUAGACUAGAGUACGGUAGAGGGAGGUAGAAUUCCACGUGUAGCGGUGAAAUGCGUAGAGAUGUGGAGGAAUACCAGUGGCGAAGGCGGCCUCCUGGAUCGAUACUGACGCUAAGGUGCGAAAGCGUGGGGAGCAAACAGG